GGUACGUCAUUGUGAGAUCGAUGAGGGCAACUUUGUAAAACUGCACAAGCGAAGGCUUUGAUCUGCUUCUCAAAUUCCCAACUUCGUUUGAAAAUCUCCAGAAAGAAAGGUUUCGAGAAUGGGUGAUUCCGAGAUUAAUCUUGUUGGCAAGGAUGAAGCACUUCGGAUGCUUGUUAGGCGUCCAAACAAUACUGGAUUCUAAGUUAGAAUGGUAGAAUCAGGGCACUCGUUGAUUAUGUCUUGUUAGAGAAUACGAGAUGGCAUCUUCAAGUUAAUGGAGGAAGAUCGAAGUGCUUGAGGCUUGGCUUCGGGAAGCAGAAGGUAUAGUGAAAGAUAUUAGGUAAGAGCUGCGAAAGAUUCAGGAUGAAUUGGAGGGUGCGAAGAACGAGAAAAGACAGACUAUGAAUGAGCCAAAUGUAGCGGGAAUUAUUGCGAAGAGGAAAGACAUGUCAAUACGGUCCCAGAAGUCAGAACUCUCUUGGUCAUGCUGAAUCCACGAUUAUUUUAAAUGGUUCUCUUCUGGAACAGCUCAUGAAUUGUGAGAUGGGUACAAUGCUGGCCGAGCAAUGGUACAAGUGAUAUUUCUUUUCAAAGAAGAAAACAAGAGGUACAAGUGACACUGUUAUGGGAAAUAGCCAUGUCAGCUAUACUAUCUUUACCGCCAUUAAAAGGAGAAGCGAAGAAUCAGAAGAGAACCUUACAGAAAUGGCUACACUCACAUGGAAUAUUUUCUGUAGAAAAAUCUGUUUUCAUGGACAGGCAAACGAUUUCUCGCAUGAAAUACUUAGCAGAAGUGCAGAAGAGAUGAGAAGUCCUAACCCACAUGGCAAAAAUGUGCUGUUAAUAUAAAUAUGAAAGUGAUGCAGAAAGAUGAUAGUAAUUUCUGAGUGACAUUUUGCAGAAAAAGAAAUAGUAAGUGGUAAAUCAGUGGAUAAUCUCUUGCGACGAUACUGAUACACCGCAGUAUGGAACUGGGGAAGAUUGAAAUAUAAACAUAAUCUGCCUAACGCCUUCAAACUAUGCUAAGUAAAAGGGCUGAAGCAAUGCAUGUACCAGCUGUCCCCAAAACUGACCAUAUGUAAGAAGAAUUCUAUCCUAUUGAGAAGAUGCAGACGAAUGGUUGCAGUAUUAAAUGCCAUUUUCCAGAAAAAUGAAAGGAUAUAACACAAGAAAGCUCUCCAAAGCAGGUUCUCUACUAGUGAUGCAUGUAAAUAGAUUAUGUACCUAUUCUUUAUUUCUCCAAAAUUCCGUCACUAGAUAACUCUAGUCAAUCAGGGGACAAUUAGUCAGAAAUGAAAUUGAUACUCAGAAGCAUUGUUUAUUUCCUUUAAUCUUAAAUGUUCCAUUGGAAAAAGAUAAGUGUUUGUUGAUAGAGAAGUCUGGAACCUUUUGGAAUUUUUUCAUCUCAACAAACAAUGAUGACAUCUUGGAUAAGUCGGACACAAUUAGGCAGGAAAUUUACUUUCAACGGAUUGAAUACAGCUAGCCAAGCAGAUACUGGAACCAUUAAAGACUUGUCAGAUAAGUUCGAGAGGACUGCUUUCAAUUUGAAUGAUGACCCCCACAGGCAACAUAUAAAUAUUCACUCUUAUCUACACAUGUUGCAGAUAGCAUGAGGACUUGCUUACUAGUUUAGAAAGUAAUUUAUCUCGUAAUCAGAGCAUUUAAAGAGAAAGACGGGAGAAAGUGAUUGGUCUUGUAAAAACUCAGUCAAGCUUCAUGGUUGAAUCAUCUCAAGAUAGUUCAGAAACUAGCCAUUUUGCUCAUCAUGUUAGUUAUUAUCUUUUUCCAAAUUCUCUUAUGCCACUAAAAUUUAUUACCUCUAAGCCAGUAACAUAAUGUGAAACUCACUGGAAUGUUAUUGAAUACUGUGCUGGACAUCGUGCUCUGCCUAAAAAGGUGCCACGAACAAAAAUGAAUUGGCCGUUCUCAGCACAAUGAAACUUGUGAGCUAUACAGUCCAGACCAGAGUCUCUAGUCAAAUUAUCUUACUCCAUUCUCGCACUAAAUAUCUGUUGGUAUAUGACUCUAACAAGAUAGUUAUGCUCCAU